AUUGAACGCUGGCGGCAGGCCUAACACAUGCAAGUCGAGCGGAGGAAGGGAGCUUGCUCCUGGAUUCAGCGGCGGACGGGUGAGUAAUGCCUAGGAAUCUGCCUGGUAGUGGGGGAUAACGUCCGGAAACGGGCGCUAAUACCGCAUACGUCCUGAGGGAGAAAGUGGGGGAUCUUCGGACCUCACGCUAUCAGAUGAGCCUAGGUCGGAUUAGCUAGUUGGUGGGGUAAAGGCCUACCAAGGCGACGAUCCGUAACUGGUCUGAGAGGAUGAUCAGUCACACUGUAACUGAGACACGGUCCAGACUCCUACGGGAGGCAGCAGUGGGGAAUAUUGGACAAUGGGCGAAAGCCUGAUCCAGCCAUGCCGCGUGUGUGAAGAAGGUCUUCGGAUUGUAAAGCACUUUAAGUGGGGAGGAAGGGCAGUAAGUUAAUACCUUGCUGUUUUGACGUUACCAACAGAAUAAGCACCGGCUAACUUCGUG
rnacentral:rRNA from 1 species